GACGAACGCUGGCGGUGUGCCUAACACAUGCAAGUCGAACGGUAAGGCCCUUUCGGGGGUACGCGAGUGGCGAACGGGUGAGUAACACGUGAGUAACCUGCCCUCAUCUCUGGGAUAACAGUCGGAAACGGUUGCUAAUACUGGAUAUGAGCUUGCAAGGCAUCUUGUGGGUUGGAAAGAUUUUUUUGGUUGGGGUUGGACUCGCGGCCUAUCAGCUUGUUGGUGAGGUAGUGGCUCACCAAGGCUUCGACGGGUAGCCGGCCUGAGAGGGCGACCGGCCACAUUGGGACUGAGAGACGGCCCAAACUCCUACGGGAGGCAGCAGGGGGGAACAUUGAACAAGGGACGGAAGGCGGAUGCAGCAACGCCGCGUGCGGGAUGACGGCCUUCGGGUUGUAAACCGCUUUCAAUUGUGACGAAGCUUUUUGUGACGGUAGCAGUAGAAGAAGCACCGGCUAACUACGUG
rnacentral:rRNA from 1 species